rnacentral:rRNA from 1 species
AGAAUCAACGCUGGCGGCGUGCCUCAGACAUGCAAGUCGAACGCGAAAGGCCCCUUCGGGGGACAAGUAGAGUGGCGCACGGGUGAGUAACACGUAGGUAAUCUACCUUCGGAUGGGGAAUAACAACCGGAAACGGUUGCUAAUACCGCAUAAUGCAGCGGCACCUAAUGGUGACAGUUGUUAAAGCGGGGGAUCGAAAGACCUCGCGUCUGAAGAGGAGCCUGCGGCGGAUUAGCUAAGUUGGUAGGUAACGGCCUACCAAGGCGACGAUCCGUA